rnacentral:tRNA from 1 species
CGGGUCCUGGUGCGGGCGCGGCGCGCCUCGGCCUCCGCCCGGGCGUGGGCGGCGGCGACCAGCCGCUCCACGGCACUGGCUUCGUGGAACUCGGC